GACGGAGGGCGCAAGCGUUGUUCGGAAUUACUGGGCGUAAAGCGCGGGCAGGCGGUUUGUUAAGUCUUUUGUGAAAAUCCGGGGCUCAACCCCGUGAAAUGCAGAAGAUACUGGCAGACUGGAGACCAGUAGAGGCUAGCGGAAUUCCUGGUGUAGCGGUGGAAUGCGUAGAUAUCAGGAAGAACACCUGUGGCGAAGGCGGCUAGCUGGGCUGGAUCUGACGCUCAUCCGCGAAAGCGUGGGGAGCAAACAGG
rnacentral:rRNA from 1 species